rnacentral:snRNA from 1 species
AAACUUACCUGGCUGGGGGCAUUCCGCGAUCAUGAAGGCGGCAUCCCCAUGGCGAGGCCUAUCCAUUGCACUUUUGGAUGGGCUGACCAGUCUCGGAUGGGCUGACUUUUGGAUGGGCAGUCUCGAGUUGAGAUUCGCCAACAGCUCAAUUUUUGCGUAACGGGGCUGCGUUCGCGCGGCCCUGG